rnacentral:rRNA from 1 species
CGCGGCCGCAGAGUUUGAUCAUGGCUCAGAACGAACGCUCGCGGCAUGCCUAACACAUGCAAGUCGAACGCGGGGCUUCGGCCCUGAGUGGCGCACGGGUGAGUAACGCGUGGGAACCUGCCCCGAGGUGGGGGAUAACCGAUGGAAACGUCGGCUAAUACCGCAUGAGACCUGAGGGUGAAAGAUUUAUCGCCUUGGGAGGGGCCCGCGUCGGAUUAGCUAGUUGGUGGGGUAACGGCCUACCAAGGCGAUGAUCCGUAGCUGGUCUGAGAGGAUGAUCAGCCACACUGGGACUGAGACACGGCCCAGACUCCUACGGGAGGCAGCAGUGGGGAAUAUUGGACAAUGGGGGCAACCCUGAUCCAGCAAUGCCGCGUGAGUGAUGAAGGCCUUAGGGUUGUAAAGCUCUUUCGGCGGGAACGAUGAUGACGGUACCCGCAGAAGAAGC